CCUACGGGAGGCAGCAGUGGGGAAUCUUCCGCAAUGGGCGAAAGCCUGACGGAGCAACGCCGCGUGAUCGAAUGAAGGCCUUCGGGUUGUAAAGAUCUGUUGACAGGGACGAAUAAGCAAUGCGAAUAGUUUUGUGUCUGACGGUACCUGUUUAGAAAGCUCCGGCUAACUACGUGCCAGCAGCCGCGGUAAUACGUAGGGAGCAAGCGUUGUCCGGAGUUACUGUGCUGAAAGGGCGCGUAGGUGGGCGCUUAAGUCAGGUGUGAAAACUCCGGGCUCAACCUGUAGACUGCACUUGAAACUGUUUUUCUUGAGUACUGGAGAGGCAGACGGAAUUCCUAGUGUAGCGGUGAAAUGCGUAGAUAUUAGGAGGAACACCAGUGGCGAAGGCGGUCUGCUGGACAGCAACUGACGCUGAGGCGCGAAAGCGUGGGGAGCAAACAGGAUUAGAUACCCUUGUAGUC
rnacentral:rRNA from 1 species